rnacentral:rRNA from 1 species
GGCGGCAUGCUUAACACAUGCAAGUCGAACGAGAAAUUCCGAUUCGUCGGGAGAGUAAAGUGGCGAACGGGUGAGUAACACGAGGGUAAUCUACCCUUAAAUUAGGGAUAACCUUGCGAAAGCGAAGCUAAUACCUGAUAAGACUACGAUCUUCUAGGAGAUAGUAGGAAAAGAUGGCCUCUGUUUCAUGCUAUUGUUUAAGGAUGAGCCCUUGUACUAUUAGCUUGUUGGUGAGGUAAUGGCUCACCAAGGCGACGAUGGUUAGCUGGUCUGAGAGGAUGAUCAGCCACACUGGAACUGAGACACGGUCCAGACUCCUACGGGAGGCAGCAGUGAGGAAUAUUGCGCAAUGGGGGAAACCCUGACGCAGUGACGCCGCGUGAGUGAUGAAGGCUUUCGAGUCGUAAAGCUCUGUUAGGUGGAAAGAAAUAUUUCAGUGCCAAUACCACUGGAAUUUGACGGUACCACCAGAGGAAGCACCGGCUAACUCCGUG